UGUGAUUCAAUUUCAUUUUUUUCAUCUUUAUCAUUUAUGAAUUCAAUGAACACACAUUAUUUAAACGUUCUAUGUGCAACUAUUUGUCGGGGCGCCCCUGUAUGCAUGGUAUGUAACCCCCGCGCGCGCGCCGAAUGUAAACAGUAACGAACGGCAUUGUAGAAAAGAGAGAGCCGUAAUGCAGAAGAGAAGUUGUGUAUUCUUUCGGUGUAUACAUGCAUUUUCAAUUUACUGUGAAACAUAUGAACAUGCACAGGGAACAAUACUACAUAUUUGUUUAAGGAGGAUAUUUUUCUCGUGUGAAUCGUUUACGAGGAAAUUCUGACAGCCACACUUCUGUCGACGAUCAGCCGUUGAUAAGCUACGAGUAAUAAAGGAGAAAAGAUGGACAUUAAAGUGUGUGAUUUAUGUGGAUGUUACUGAAGAAGCUCAAAACAGACUCUUGUUACCACAUGGCUUUUACUGGUACCUGUUGAUUCUUGUGGGUCAGCUCCUGAGAUUAACCUGUCACCUCUAUCCACAUGCAUAUUCCUUGUGUUCUACAGACUAUUUACCGGUAAUUCAAAUUAAAUCCAAUAAUGCAUGAACAAUAAUGGAACUUGAAGAAAGCAUCAUGCCAUGUUGUGGUUUGUGUUUGAUAAGAAAUUAUGAAAACAAAAUUAAGGCUGUUUAAAGAAAUUCAUAAUUGCUGUGAAAAUUUGUUUUUCAAUAAAAGUAUGCAAUUA